GACGAACGCUGGCGGCGUGCCUAAUACAUGCAAGUAGAACGCUGAAGAGAGGAGCUUGCUCUUCUUGGAUGAGUUGCGAACGGGUGAGUAACGCGUAGGUAACCUGCCUUGUAGCGGGGGAUAACUAUUGGAAACGAUAGCUAAUACCGCAUAACAAUGGAUGACACAUGUCAUUUAUUUGAAAGGGGCAAUUGCUCCACUACAAGAUGGACCUGCGUUGUAUUAGCUAGUAGGUGAGGUAAUGGCUCACCUAGGCGACGAUACAUAGCCGACCUGAGAGGGUGAUCGGCCACACUGGGACUGAGACACGGCCCAGACCCCUACGGGAGGCAGCAGUAGGGAAUCUUCGGCAAUGGGGGCAACCCUGACCGAGCAACGCCGCGUGAGUGAAGAAGGUUUUCGGAUCGUAAAGCUCUGUUGUAAGUCAAGAACGGGUGUGAGAGUGGAAAGUUCACACUGUGACGGGAGUUUACCAGAAAGGGACGGCUAACUACG
rnacentral:rRNA from 1 species